rnacentral:rRNA from 1 species
AGAGUUUGAUCCUGGCUCAGGAUGAACGCUGGCGGCGUGCCUAAUACAUGCAAGUCGAGCGAACAGACAAGGAGCUUGCUCCUUUGACGUUAGCGGCGGACGGGUGAGUAACACGUGGGUAACCUACCUAUAAGACUGGGAUAACUUCGGGAAACCGGAGCUAAUACCGGAUAAUAUUUCGAACCGCAUGGUUCGAUAGUGAAAGAUGGUUUUGCUAUCACUUAUAGAUGGACCCGCGCCGUAUUAGCUAGUUGGUAAGGUAACGGCUUACCAAGGCGACGAUACGUAGCCGACCUGAGAGGGUGAUCGGCCACACUGGAACUGAGACACGGUCCAGACUCCUACGGGAGGCAGCAGUAGGGAAUCUUCCGCAAUGGGCGAAAGCCUGACGGAGCAACGCCGCGUGAGUGAUGAAGGUCUUCGGAUCGUAAAACUCUGUUAUUAGGGAAGAACAUACAUGUAAGUAACUAUGCACGUCUUGACGGUACCUAAUCAGAAAGCCACGGCUUACUACGUGCCAGCAGCCGCGGUAAUACGUAGGUGGCAAGCGUUAUCCGGAAUUAUUGGGCGUAAAGCGCGCGUAGGCGGUUUUUUAAGUCUGAUGUGAAAGCCCACGGCUCAACCGUGGAGGGUCAUUGGAAACUGGAAAACUUGAGUGCAGAAGAGGAAAGUGGAAUUCCAUGUGUAGCGGUGAAAUGCGCAGAGAUAUGGAGGAACACCAGUGGCGAAGGCGACUUUCUGGUCUGUAACUGACGCUGAUGUGCGAAAGCGUGGGGAUCAAACAGGAUUAGAUACCCUGGUAGUCCACGCCGUAAACGAUGAGUGCUAAGUGUUAGGGGGUUUCCCGCCCCUUAGUGCUGCAGCUAACGCAUUAAGCACUCCGCCUGGGGAGGACGACCGCAAGGUUGAAACUCAAGGGAUUGACGG